CAUUGGGGAAUUUUCCGCAAUGGGCGAAAGCCUGACGGAGCAAUGCCACGUGGAGGUGGAAGGCCUACGGGUCGUCAACUUCUUUUCUCGGAGAAGAAACAAUGACGGUAUCUGAGGAAUAAGCAUCGGCUAACUCUGUGCCAG
rnacentral:rRNA from 1 species